GUCCACACGGCCACAUUCUAUCUUGAGCUCCUGGACCUGAGGCCCCUCCAGCCGGUCAGCGGAUUCUCAGACCCUCCCACGCAUAGGAGGCUCAAGAUGGAUGGAGCGCCAGUGAAACUCAGGUCUAGAGUUCCAUGAGCCCACCUACGCGCUUCACUCUUUUUCUCUGUCAGUUCUUUUCCUUCACCCUGGAUAACCCUACAGCUGAUAUCACCGAGAACUCAGUGUGUAGGUGCGCACUGCGAUUACAAAUACCAGAUGAGCUUCCGGUUCAGCUGGGGCUCCCUGUCACGGUGC
rnacentral:lncRNA from 1 species